UCUUGGGUCACUUCUAACAGAAAAAGGAAUCUCAAGGUCCACUAGUGACACUUUUUAUAAAUCAACGCUGUCCAUAGCAUGCUAUGCAAUACCCAUUCACAAGUGGUAAACUGGUAACAUGCUUUAGCAUCUACCCAUGUUAUAAUGAUACUAGAAUGAUGAGAAAUAGAGCAAGGAAUUGAUGAUUGAUACACCUGGGGAUGAGAUUAUGUCACAUUUCACUUUCUAAGAGAAGAUGAGUUCCAUGUUGCUGGGGGG
rnacentral:misc_RNA from 1 species